rnacentral:rRNA from 1 species
AUGGACAAGGAGGCUGAGCCAUCCGCGAGGGCGUCGACAUCAACUCGCCCCUUGCCGUGUGGGGCGGAGGACGUGGAGGCGGAGCUGUCCAUGACGUCGUCAUCAUCAUCCUCGCCUUCGAGGGAAAGCAGUUAUCUUCACCAUUGUUGCUUAUUCCUAUUGUGUUAUCAGGUCAAGAAGAUUGGAAAGUUCAAGGAAACAAAAAGGACUGAUGGAGUAUCGACACCAGACCUUAUUAUGAGGAUAGUGAAGGACUACAACCAGCAUGUCACGACGAAUCUAGCACGAGGUUACUCGAGGAAAGAUAUGGCCCCAGAUAAUAACUCAUGUUGGUCGUCUUCUUUUCAGGAGAAACAACUGCAAGUGAAUAUGAAGAUAAAUAAACUGCGAGAGACUGUGAAGGCACAACAAGAAAAGUUGCAAACGGCAGCGAAGACGACUCGGAUAAACCAUGAAGAGUGGUUGGAGAAUGUGGAUCGCUGGGUGGUCGGCUUCCUGGAGAAGUUCGAGGAGCACUGCCACGUCAUGGAGAAUGCCAUCAAGGACCGGGUACGAAGAGAGGCUGGGGAGCAUGGCCGUGCAUACUACAAAGAGGAGAGUGGAAGUGGCGCAUCCCAGUUGGCACCGCCCCAAUUUCCUCUCAGGCGGCGCACAAAGGGUGCGCCCCAACCACUAGUACUCCAUAUAGAGCGUGGUGUGGUGUUCGCUUCCUGUCCACCGAAUCCUAUUCCUAGCUCGGACAUUCUCAUCAUCAUCGACGCGUUCUCCUUCAACAUCUUCGUGCCGUCCCUCAUGCUGGUAGUUGCGUCGUCUUGCUUCAUCAUUCCUGCCCAGUAG